GACGAACGCUGGCGGCGUGCCUAAUACAUGCAAGUCGAACGCAGUGGGGACGGGUGAGUAACCCGUGGGUAACCUCCCAUCAGAGGGGAUAACCCUUGGAAACAGGUGCUAAACCGAUACUGAUGGAUGAACCCGCGGUGCAUUAGCUAGUUGGUGAGGUAACGGCUCACCAAGGCGACGAUGAAUCGCGGGUCUGAGAGGGUGAUCGGCCACACUGGGACUGAGACACGGCCCAGACUCCUACGGGAGGCAGCAGUAGGGAAUCUUGCGCAAUGGACGAAAGUCUGACCGAGCAACGCCGCGUGAGUGAAGAAGGUUUUCGGAUCGUAAAGCACUGUUGUUAGAGAAGCGGUAUCUAACCAGAAAGCCACGGCUAACUACGUGCCAGCCGCCGCGGUAAUUC
rnacentral:rRNA from 1 species